rnacentral:lncRNA from 1 species
GGACUCGAAGACCAGGAGCCCAGAGGAGGCCCUGGGACAAUGGUAAGUAAUGUAUGUUAUGACAGGAAGACCAGGACCCCAUGCUACGGCCUGGCACAGAGUUAGCUUGGACUAAUUGGUGACAAGUUCACCCAGCCCUUAUGUGAAUUGUCUGUGUUAUGAUGCAUUUCAUAGAGCAUAGUGUUAAUAUGUUUUAUAGUUCUGCUCACUGGGCUUUUAGCUCACCCCUCUCCC